AAAGUCGUAACAAGGUUUCCGUAGGUGAACCUGCGGAAGGAUCAUUACCGUGCCUGGGUCCCCUCGGGGGCUCGACAUACCAACCCUUUGUAGUACUUAAACACGUUGCUUUGGCGGGACGGCCGCGCUUCCGAGCGCAGCCGCCGGGUCCCAAAUCGCCCGGAGAGCGCCCGCCAGAGGAUCACAAAGAAACACUCAGUCUUAAAAAUAUCGUCAGAGUUAAAUGAUAAUAUAAUCAAAACUUUCAACAACGGAUCUCUUGGUUCUG
rnacentral:misc_RNA from 1 species